GGGUUGUGAGGUUAAGCGACUAAGCGUACACGGUGGAUGCCCUGGCAGUCAGAGGCGAUGAAGGACGUGCUAAUCUGCGAUAAGCGUCGGUAAGGUGAUAUGAACCGUUAUAACCGGCGAUUUCCGAAUGGGGAAACCCAGUGUGUUUCGACACACUAUCAUUAACUGAAUCCAUAGGUUAAUGAGGCGAACCGGGGGAACUGAAACAUCUAAGUACCCCGAGGAAAAGAAAUCAACCGAGAUUCCCCCAGUAGCGGCGAGCGAACGGGGAGCAGCCCAGAGCCUGAAUCAGUGUGUGUGUUAGUGGAAGCGUCUGGAAAGGCGCGCGAUACAGGGUGACAGCCCCGUACACAAAAAUGCACAUGCUGUGAGCUCGAUGAGUAGGGCGGGACACGUGGUAUCCUGUCUGAAUAUGGGGGGACCAUCCUCCAAGGCUAAAUACUCCUGACUGACCGAUAGUGAACCAGUACCGUGAGGGAAAGGCGAAAAGAACCCCGGCGAGGGGAGUGAAAAAGAACCUGAAACCGUGUACGUACAAGCAGUGGGAGCACGCUUAGGCGUGUGACUGCGUACCUUUUGUAUAAUGGGUCAGCGACUUAUAUUCUGUAGCAAGGUUAACCGAAUAGGGGAGCCGAAGGGAAACCGAGUCUUAACUGGGCGUUAAGUUGCAGGGUAUAGACCCGAAACCCGGUGAUCUAGCCAUGGGCAGGUUGAAGGUUGGGUAACACUAACUGGAGGACCGAACCGACUAAUGUUGAAAAAUUAGCGGAUGACUUGUGGCUGGGGGUGAAAGGCCAAUCAAACCGGGAGAUAGCUGGUUCUCCCCGAAAGCUAUUUAGGUAGCGCCUCGUGAAUUCAUCUCCGGGGGUAGAGCACUGUUUCGGCAAGGGGGUCAUCCCGACUUACCAACCCGAUGCAAACUGCGAAUACCGGAGAAUGUUAUCACGGGAGACACACGGCGGGUGCUAACGUCCGUCGUGAAGAGGGAAACAACCCAGACCGCCAGCUAAGGUCCCAAAGUCAUGGUUAAGUGGGAAACGAUGUGGGAAGGCCCAGACAGCCAGGAUGUUGGCUUAGAAGCAGCCAUCAUUUAAAGAAAGCGUAAUAGCUCACUGGUCGAGUCGGCCUGCGCGGAAGAUGUAACGGGGCUAAACCAUGCACCGAAGCUGCGGCAGCGACGCUUAUGCGUUGUUGGGUAGGGGAGCGUUCUGUAAGCCUGUGAAGGUGUGCUGUGAGGCAUGCUGGAGGUAUCAGAAGUGCGAAUGCUGACAUAAGUAACGAUAAAGCGGGUGAAAAGCCCGCUCGCCGGAAGACCAAGGGUUCCUGUCCAACGUUAAUCGGGGCAGGGUGAGUCGACCCCUAAGGCGAGGCCGAAAGGCGUAGUCGAUGGGAAACAGGUUAAUAUUCCUGUACUUGGUGUUACUGCGAAGGGGGGACGGAGAAGGCUAUGUUGGCCGGGCGACGGUUGUCCCGGUUUAAGCGUGUAGGCUGGUUUUCCAGGCAAAUCCGGAAAAUCAAGGCUGAGGCGUGAUGACGAGGCACUACGGUGCUGAAGCAACAAAUGCCCUGCUUCCAGGAAAAGCCUCUAAGCAUCAGGUAACAUCAAAUCGUACCCCAAACCGACACAGGUGGUCAGGUAGAGAAUACCAAGGCGCUUGAGAGAACUCGGGUGAAGGAACUAGGCAAAAUGGUGCCGUAACUUCGGGAGAAGGCACGCUGAUAUGUAGGUGAAGUCCCUCGCGGAUGGAGCUGAAAUCAGUCGAAGAUACCAGCUGGCUGCAACUGUUUAUUAAAAACACAGCACUGUGCAAACACGAAAGUGGACGUAUACGGUGUGACGCCUGCCCGGUGCCGGAAGGUUAAUUGAUGGGGUUAGCGGUAACGCGAAGCUCUUGAUCGAAGCCCCGGUAAACGGCGGCCGUAACUAUAACGGUCCUAAGGUAGCGAAAUUCCUUGUCGGGUAAGUUCCGACCUGCACGAAUGGCGUAAUGAUGGCCAGGCUGUCUCCACCCGAGACUCAGUGAAAUUGAACUCGCUGUGAAGAUGCAGUGUACCCGCGGCAAGACGGAAAGACCCCGUGAACCUUUACUAUAGCUUGACACUGAACAUUGAGCCUUGAUGUGUAGGAUAGGUGGGAGGCUUUGAAGUGUGGACGCCAGUCUGCAUGGAGCCGACCUUGAAAUACCACCCUUUAAUGUUUGAUGUUCUAACGUUGACCCGUAAUCCGGGUUGCGGACAGUGUCUGGUGGGUAGUUUGACUGGGGCGGUCUCCUCCUAAAGAGUAACGGAGGAGCACGAAGGUUGGCUAAUCCUGGUCGGACAUCAGGAGGUUAGUGCAAUGGCAUAAGCCAGCUUGACUGCGAGCGUGACGGCGCGAGCAGGUGCGAAAGCAGGUCAUAGUGAUCCGGUGGUUCUGAAUGGAAGGGCCAUCGCUCAACGGAUAAAAGGUACUCCGGGGAUAACAGGCUGAUACCGCCCAAGAGUUCAUAUCGACGGCGGUGUUUGGCACCUCGAUGUCGGCUCAUCACAUCCUGGGGCUGAAGUAGGUCCCAAGGGUAUGGCUGUUCGCCAUUUAAAGUGGUACGCGAGCUGGGUUUAGAACGUCGUGAGACAGUUCGGUCCCUAUCUGCCGUGGGCGCUGGAGAACUGAGGGGGGCUGCUCCUAGUACGAGAGGACCGGAGUGGACGCAUCACUGGUGUUCGGGUUGUCAUGCCAAUGGCACUGCCCGGUAGCUAAAUGCGGAAGAGAUAAGUGCUGAAAGCAUCUAAGCACGAAACUUGCCCCGAGAUGAGUUCUCCCUGACCCUUUAAGGGUCCUGAAGGAACGUUGAAGACGACGACGUUGAUAGGCCGGGUGUGUAAGCGCAGCGAUGCGUUGAGCUAACCGGUACUAAUGAACCGUGAGGCUUAACCUUACAACGCCGAAGGUGUUU
rnacentral:rRNA from 1 species